ensembl:misc_RNA
UUGACAGCCCUGGAGACUGGAAUCCUCUGGGUAUUCACAGAGCAGGCACAGCCCAGGCUGUAACAGUGCAAGCUUCUCCAGCCACAUAGCUUAACUCUGCAGCGGGAAGGUCCACUACUCGGGCUGAAAGGGCAGGUGAGUGUCCGUGCCCUCAGGCUUAGCCCUCA